rnacentral:rRNA from 1 species
UACGUAGGGGGCAAGCGUUGUCCGGAUUUAUUGGGCGUAAAGAGCGUGUAGGCGGCCAUGCAGGUCCGUUGUGAAAACUCGAGGCUCAACCUCGAGACGCCGGUGGAAACCGUGUGGCUAGAGUCCGGAAGAGGAGAGUGGAAUUCCUGGUGUAGCGGUGAAAUGCGCAGAUAUCAGGAGAACACCCGUGGCGAAGGCGGGCUCUCG